CUGCUAACAAGUGCUCCAGUCGUCUUGAGGCUGUGUAUUUUCCCUUGGUUUAAGACUUUUAUUACCAGAACGCUGACGUGUUACAUGCGAUUUUCCAAUAUGGAACCACUCUUUAUGAAGACAUCGCACUCACUCAAGACUUUCUUCUUCCACUACUUGAUUGCAAAUUGCAUAAACUUCUUUCUUGUUCUGGAUAGCGGUUAACGAGUUGUGUUCAUUGUAAAAGAUACCUAGAAGACUAUUGCUGUCCUUUCUUACUAAUGCUUGUAAGUCAGUUGUAUAAUCCGUUAGUUGGUCAUGCACCGCAAGUAAAUAGUUAACUAUUUGUGUGGUGUUGUUUGGUUCCACCAUAAAGUCAUUUCGAGAGCGAGCAAUCCUCGUGACGAGUUAGUCGCAACUGAUAAGGCUUUCCUGCCUGUGAUGCUGUAUUUAGUACUGACAGAGGCAACGUAGUGAACUCGAUCAUUGUAUUCCGGGCUCCUCUCAUACCAAUCACAUUAAACCAGGCUAACUCCUGCUGCCCACCCCAUUCAAAUUUCGCUCCCUUCUUAAGCAUAUUACUUAAAGGUUCCAUAACUAUUGCAAUAUGGAGUUAUAUCGGCUCCAAAAAUUUAGCGAUUGAAAGAAGCUGGUCAACUCCUGCUUGUUUUUAGUCCCUUCCCACCCAGUUAACGGAAGGUUUAGCAAAACAACUUUUUUCCAAUCUCAAUAUAACAUAAAAAUGUUCAUAGCUCAUAAUCAAAUAGUUAAAGCUCUUCAGGUGCUCUUCUUUAGAGUUACUUGCCCUCAGUCGCCCUCAUAGACUUAUCUUUAAGACCAUGUAGAAAAUAAUUCACACUCUUUUAGUACUCAAAGAGGGCGUUGACGUAAUCAAAGGUAGAAUCGUACUAUGUACACGUCUAUCAUCGGACAUGUUAAAGACAAUAUAUUUUCUAGACUCUUGUUCGCUCUCCCUUUCAUAGAAGGUUUUGUCAUUAUCUAGGGUCCCAAAAACGCUUUUUUUCUCUAACCAUAAUAUUGAUGUUCUUCUCAGUCGGCGCUUUAAAUCUUUCUAUCACACAUCUUUCGUAUAGUCCUUGAAGAGUGUCAGACAUCCUUAUGUAUUUUCAGGUUCUCGCCAAAUUUCCUCCUUUGAUGCUCCCAUAAUGUUGGGCUUCGGGACCUUAACUUCAUGUGAUCCCAAUCCAUGUCGGAAGUCUUCCAAAAAAACCAACUUUAAGCAGUUUUCACAUUCUCAUGAUUAUCGCUAUCUUUACUUUAUUCUUAAUAUUAUAUUUAGUCCAUACAAGUGACAUAUUAUCUUUCAACUUAACUCUUAAUGGCUUAAACUUCAUUAACCUUUCACAUUCGGAUUCCACUUCAGAUUAUAGAUACGACGAGCCAAACUCUUGACCUCUUGGACACUCACUCUCGUUCAUAUUUACCAACUUGUACCCAACUAUUUCAUAAUGCCUCUUUCGUAGCAGUAUAUCAACACCAUGAGACAAAGAUUUAUUAACUACAUUAAGUAAUAUUUCUUAAGUUACUACAUUUAAAUGAAUGUUAGUGGAAACAUUGUCCACGAAAGCACGUUAUACAUCUCCAAAAGUCAUGAAAGUUUUUUUUUACUUAUAAUUCUCUUAUCUAAAAGUAACUAGCAAGCGAGUUGCUGGAAAUGAAGC